AUGAUGAAAACUGAGUCAGAGGUUACCCACAUAUUUGACUCUGAAUUAGCCAAACCCCAAAAAAUUGAUUGUCAAACCUUCACUCAGUCUCAAGCUGUGGUUAAAAGACCUGAUGAAUCUUUUAAACUGAUCUGCACCGCCUCUGGAUUUACAUUCAGCAGCUACUGGGCAGCUGUGGUUAGACAGGCUCCUGGUAAAGGACUGGAAUGGGUUGCAAACAUCAGUCCAUCCAGCUCUUCAAUCUACUAUUCCCAGUCAGUUCAGGGAAGAUUCACUUUGUCCAGAGAAAAUUCAAACAGUCAACUGUAUCUACAGAUGAACAGUCUGAAGACUGAAGACACAGCUGUGUAUUACUGUACCACAGACUCACAGUGA